rnacentral:lncRNA from 1 species
GGGGGGAUAUGAUCAGCCACAAAUCAAUAUGGAAAAUUAGGCUUUUCUGACGCACUUAAGUAUCUUUUUCUUGAGCAAUAUGGAGUUUUUAGAAUAGUUUUUCAUUAUUUUUUUAUUUUUAUAUUUUUUGGGUAAUAAGUGAAAAUGUCACGUUUUUGCUCAUUUUGUAACCAAAUUUGACCAAUCGAGCCAUGGGGAACCUAACAAGUUGAUAAAGUGUUGUAGGGAGUCGACGGUGG